rnacentral:rRNA from 1 species
UACGUAGGGUGCGAGCGUUAAUCGGAAUUACUGGGCGUAAAGCGUGCGCAGGCGGUUCGUUGUGUCGGCGGUGAAAGCCCCGGGCUUAACCUGGGAAUGGCCGUUGAAACUGGCGAACUGGAGUGUGGCAGAGGAGUCUGGAAUUCUCGGUGUAGCAGUGAAAUGCGUGGAUAUCGAGAAGAACACUUAGGGCGCAGGCAAGACUCUGGACAAAUGCUGACGCUCAUGCACGAAGGCUAGGGUAGCGAACGGG